AAGACUAUACUUUCAGGGAUCAUUUCUGUAGUUGGUCACUAGAGGAGAGUGAUCGCACCUGAACGGCGUCACAAACCACGAGGAGGAGCGAGGUGCUGUCUCCUGAGCGCGAGGCGGGCGGGCGGCGCUGCUUGUGCAGGGGCUUCCCGCCCUCGA
rnacentral:snoRNA from 1 species